rnacentral:tRNA from 1 species
UAAGCUUAUAAGCAUUUCAUUUACACUGAAAAGAAUCAAAUAAACUUUAUUUUUAA